rnacentral:rRNA from 1 species
AAUAUUGGUCAAUGGGCGCAAGCCUGAACCAGCCAUGCCGCGUGCAGGAAGACGGCCCUAUGGGUUGUAAACUGCUUUUGUCAGGGAAUAAACCCCCGUACGUGUACGGGGCUGAAGGUACCUGAAGAAUAAGCAUCGGCUAACUCCGUGCCAGCAGCCGCGGUAAUACGGAGGAUGCAAGCGUUAUCCGGAUUCAUUGGGUUUAAAGGGUGCGCAGGCGGAUUGAUAAGUCAGGGGUGAAAUCCCACAGCUCAACUGUGGAACUGCCUUUGAUACUGUUAGUCUUGAGUAUAGUUGAAGUGGGCGGAAUGUGUCAUGUAGCGGUGAAAUGCUUAGAUAUGACACAGAACACCGAUCGCGAAGGCAGCUCGCUAAGCUAUAACUGACGCUCAUGCACGAAAGCGUGGGGAUCAAACAGG